rnacentral:rRNA from 1 species
GAUGAACGCUGGCGGCGUGCCUAACACAUGCAAGUCGAGCGAUUCUCUUCGGAGAAGAGCGGCGGACGGGUGAGUAACGCGUGGGUAACCUGCCCUGUACACACGGAUAACAUACCGAAAGGUAUGCUAAUACGAGAUAAUAUACUUUUAUCGCAUGGUAGAAGUAUCAAAGCUUUUGCGGUACAGGAUGGACCCGCGUCUGAUUAGCUAGUUGGUAAGGUAACGGCUUACCAAGGCGACGAUCAGUAGCCGACCUGAGAGGGUGAUCGGCCACAUUGGAACUGAGACACGGUCCAAACUCCUACGGGAGGCAGCAGUGGGGAAUAUUGCACAAUGGGCGAAAGCCUGAUGCAGCAACGCCGCGUGAGCGAUGAAGGCCUUCGGGUCGUAAAGCUCUGUCCUCAAGGAAGAUAAUGACGGUACUUGAGGAGGAAGCCCCGGCCUAACUACGUGCCAGCAGCCGCGGUAAUAAGUCACGUCG